rnacentral:rRNA from 1 species
AACGAACGCUGGCGGCAGGCCUAACACAUGCAAGUCGAGCGAGGACUUCGGUUCUAGCGGCGGACGGGUGAGUAACGCGUGGGAAUGUGCCCUUCUCUACGGAAUAGCCCUGGGAAACUGGGAGUAAUACCGUAUACGCCCUUUUGGGGAAAGAUUUAUCGGAGAAGGAUCAGCCCGCGUUGGAUUAGGUAGUUGGUGGGGUAAUGGCCUACCAAGCCGACGAUCCAUAGCUGGUUUGAGAGAAUGAUCAGCCACACUGGGACUGAGACACGGCCCAGACUCCUACGGGAGGCAGCAGUGGGGAAUCUUAGACAAUGGGGGCAACCCUGAUCUAGCCAUGCCGCGUGAGUGAUGAAGGCCUUAGGGUUGUAAAGCUCUUUCAGCUGGGAAGAUAAUGACGGUACCAGCAGAAGAAGCCCCGGCUAACUCCGUG